GCCAAUCCCUCCCAGCAGACCCUCCCUCCCAGACCCUCCCACCUCCUGGACAGCAUCCAUUUUGAAGCUGCAUUCUUAGUGAGCUGUCCAGGAGGUGGGAGGGUCUGGGAGGGAGGGUCUGCUGCUGAUUGG